GGAGUAACGCGUGGGUAACCUGCCUCAUACAGGGGAGUAACAGUUAGAAAUGACUGCUAAUACCGCAUAAGCGCACAGUGCUGCAUGGCACAGUGUGAAAAACUCCGGUGGUAUGAGAUGGACCCGCGUCUGAUUAGCUAGUUGGUGGGGUAACGGCCUACCAAGGCGACGAUCAGUAGCCGGCCUGAGAGGGUGAACGGCCACAUUGGGACUGAGACACGGCCCAA
rnacentral:rRNA from 1 species